rnacentral:rRNA from 1 species
UACCGGCAGCUCAAGUGGUAGCCGCGAUUAUUGGGCCUAAAACGUUCGUAGCCGGAUAAGUAAGUCUUUGGUUAAAUCCUGCGACUCAACCGUGGGAAUUCUAGAGAUACUGCUUGUCUUGAGACCGGGAGAGGUUGGAGGUACUCCUAGGGUAGGGGUGAAAUCCUGUAAUCCUAGGGGGACCACCUGUGGCGAAGGCGUCCAACUGGAACGGGUCUGACGGUGAGGGACGAAACCUAGGGGAGCGAGCCGG